rnacentral:lncRNA from 1 species
AAAGACCAAACCCAAACCACAGUAGUGACCAGAUACUUAGUGGCAGCCCCAGCUGCAGGUAUGGCAAGAAGUGGCCAAGGGAGGGAAUCUCCAUGACCACAGAGGAUGCAGUGGGCAUUAGGGACCUGGCAUUUGCUGUCAGAACAAUCCAGUCAGGGUAACAGGUGGUGUUGCAGGAGAUGGGUGGAGCACACAGCAGGGAUUUGGGGAAUAGGAGAUCCAUGGAGAUCUACACAUGCUGACAGCUCUCAGCAUCGGGUUAUCUGGCGGCUCAGAGCAGUUGCUUUGCCUGGAGUGGUUGGGUACUCAGCCUGGCUGAGGCUUGUCUGGGAGAACUUUCUCUGUCAUUGUUCAUCUUGAUCUGUGAGAAGCUGUAGGUGCGCCUACGGCUCAGUGGGAAGAUAAAACCCCAACAAGUUGGUCUGGAAAAUCGAAGACCAGCAAGUGGGGCAGCUGUAUGGAGGCCAAUAUGCAGACAAGGGAGGUAACUCAGGCAUUUUGGGGGAGAGGUACAGAAAGAAGAGAAAAGACUGAACUGACUGCUGUUCUGAACAAGAACUGUGACUAUAUGUGGUACUCCCAGAAUGCUGGUUUCCUUUCAGACCCAUCAAGUGGCCGUCCUAUUGGCUUGGACUGAAGACCCCCUCUGGAGAACUGUCUCUGCAGCCUAUACUGAUGACACUGGCCACUGUCCAGGGCUCCACCCCAAGGAGUCCAAGCCCCAGACACUUAGCCUUAGAGAGAAUCCAGAUUUUGCAUUUCCAGUGCAGGGAUUGAUGGAGCCUUGUGUAUCAAAGUGCCAAUUUCUUUCUAACAAGCUGGGGAGGAUACCGUUGACAGCAGCAGAAAGGGGUAGCAGUGGUUUGCUUUCCAAAUGGUAAUAAGAAGGGCCUGGCAGUGGCACCCUGUCCACGUAUCAUUAAAAAUGGACUCUCCUGCUUCGUUUGGAAUUCAACCCAAUGAACUUGAAUAAACUCUGGACAAUGACCAGCACAGAGCCCUGAGCAGGAUACAGCAAGAUUAUUUGCUUUACUACAGUGCUUUUUAAAGGCAGCAUUUCACCCAGCCAAUAAUCAAUCCCUUUGGCCUUCCUGAGGUGCAAGGCCACACACUCAAAUUCUUUAUUCAAACAAUAGGCUAGUGCAAAUGGAGCUAUUUCUUAAACCCAGCUGUUUACACAGCAGCUACAAAUCUGUUCAGAAAGAAUCCCCCACCAUCCACAACUGUCUAUCGAGCAGAUGUGCAAGAGUAUUUGUCUCUCACCACCAGGGUUGCAGUCAGGACAAGAGAGCAGGUUUGAACGUCUUCGGCUCCUAGAACUUCACAAGCUGUGUCUUCAGUGCCCAGAGGCGGCUGCAACCUCUCCCCAGUUCUCCUCUCAGAACAAUGGAAAUUUUUUUUAGAGGCGUAAUAAGGAAGGUUUGCAUUGAAUUAUUAAACAAUGGGUAUUGAAAAAUAUGUUUUCUUUGACCUCUGUACUUCUAGCUUUUACCAGUCAGUGUUUUCUUGUACCAAGGCUAAGAUAUGUAUAACACUGAAAUGGAUGUCUUCUUAUAUAAUAUUUUACAAGCUUUUGAAAACCUGUGCCCUUUAAUAAAUUUUAAAACGUUU